rnacentral:lncRNA from 1 species
GUCUUUUCGAUGUGAUUUUCAACAAAGGGAAUAUAUGUGUUUUCCAAAGCCAUGAGAUGAGGCAUCUCUCUCUUAACUUUGACAAUGGAAUGGUUGGUGGAGGAGGCCACUCUGAGCUGCAGGUGAUUUAUCAGCCCAACCGUUGUGUGCUUCUUGAGUCAGUGCUGCUUCCUGGGCACACCCUGACUGUUGAUCGUCACGGCAAAGUGACUGAUGAGUCCUCUGCAGGCUACGCAGAGCUUUCAAAAGAAUUCUUAGUUUUUGUUAAGG